UACGUAGGGUGCUAGCGUUGUCCGGAUUUAUUGGGCGUAAAGCGUGCGUAGACGGUAGCGUAAGUCAGAUGUGAAAGCCCCGGGCUCAACCUGGGAAUUGCAUUUGAGACUGCUCUGCUCGGGUGCGGAAGAGGGAAGCGGAAUUUCCGGUGUAGCGGUGAAAUGCGUAGAUAUCGGAAGGAACACCAGUGGCGAAAGCGGCUUCCUGGUCCGACACCGACGUUCAGGCACGAAAGCGUGGGGAGCAAACAGG
rnacentral:rRNA from 1 species